UGGCAUUAGUGCUUGAGCAGCU
rnacentral:miRNA from 1 species